GAUGAACGCUGGCGGCGUGCCUAAUACAUGCAAGUCGAGCGAACAGACGAGGAGCUUGUUCCUCUGACGUUAGCGGCGGACGGGUGAGUAACACGUGGAUAACCUACCUAUAAGACUGGGAUAACUUCUGGAAACCGGUGCUAAUACCGGAUAAUAUAUUGAACCGCAUGGUUCAAGAGUGAAAGACGCAUUUGCUUUCACUUAUAGAUGUAUCCGCGCCGCAUUAGCUAGUUGGUAAGGUAACGGCUUACAAAGGCAGCGAUGCGUAGCCGACCGGAGAGGGUGAUCGCCCACUCGGGAACUGAGACACGGUCCAGCCUCCUACGGGAGGCAGCAGUAGGGAAUCUUCGGAAAUGGGCGAAGGCCUGACGGAGCAACGCGGGGUAGGUGAUGAAGGUCUUCGGAUCGUAAAACUCUGUUAUUGGGGAAGAAGAAAUGUGUAAGUGACUAUGCACGUCUUGACGGUACCUAAUCAGAAAGCCACGGCUAACUACGUG
rnacentral:rRNA from 1 species